rnacentral:rRNA from 1 species
UACAGAGGGUGCAAGCGUUGUUCGGAAUUAUUGGGCGUAAAGCGCGUGUAGGCGGCUUUGCAAGUCGGGUGUGAAAUCCCUCAGCUUAACUGAGGAAGUGCGCCCGAAACUGCCGAGCUUGAGUGCCGGAGAGGAUGGCGGAAUUCCCCAAGUAGAGGUGAAAUUCGUAGAUAUGGGGAGGAACACCGGUGGCGAAGGCGGCCAUCUGGACGGUGACUGACGCUGAGACGCGAAAGCGUGGGGAGCAAACGGG